rnacentral:rRNA from 1 species
GACGAACGCUGGCGGCGCGCUUAACACAUGCAAGUCGAGCGAUGAAAUUUCGACAGAUCCCUUCGGGGUGAAGAUGAAAUGGAUUAGCGGCGGACGGGUGAGUAACACGUGAGUAACCUGCCUUUGACAUUGGGAUAGCCUCGGGAAACUGGGAUUAAUACCAAAUGACACUAACUGAUCACAUGAUCAAUUAGUCAAAGAAAUUCGGUCAAAGAUGGACUCGCGGCUGAUUAGCUAGUUGGUGAGGUAACGGCCCACCAAGGCGACGAUCAGUAGCCGGCCUGAGAGGGUGAUCGGCCACAUUGGAACUGGGACACGGUCCAAACUCCUACGGGAGGCAGGAGUGGGGAAUAUUGCACAAUGGGGGAAGCCCUGAUGCAGCGACGCCGCGUGAGCGAAGAAGGCCUUCGGGUCGUAAAGCUCUUUUAUGAGGGAAGAUAAUGACGGUACCUCAAGAAAAAGCCCCGGCUAACUACGUG